rnacentral:tRNA from 1 species
GCCCGCAUAGCUCAGUUGGUAGAGCACCUGCCUCUUAAGUAGGCUGUCCCAGGUUCGAGUCCUGGUGCGGGUACCA